AACCCUCGUGUCCCUUUCCCAGUUUGGGGACAGUCCCUGGUGUCCCUUUCCCAGUUUGGGGACAGUCCCUGGUGUCCCUUUCCCAGUUUGGGGACACCCCCAGGUCCCUUUCCCAGUUUGGGGACAGACCCUGGUGUCCUUUUCCCAGUCUGGGGACAGACCCUCGUGUCCCUUUUCCAGUUUGGGGACAGUCCCUGGUGUCCCUUCCCCAGUUUGGGGACAGACCCUCGUGUCCCUUUUCCAGUUUGGGGACAGUCCCUGGUGUCCCUUUCCCAGUUUGGGGACAGACCCUGGUGUCCCUUUCCCAGUUUGGGGACAGUCCCUGGUGUCCCUUUCCCACUUUGGGGCCAAACCCUGGUGUCCCUUCCCAGUUUGGGGACACCCCCAGGUCCCUUUCCCAGUUUGGGGACAAACCCUCGUGUGUCCCUUUCCCAGUUUGGGGACAGUCCUUUGUGUCCCUUUCCCAGUUUGGGGACACCCCCAGGUCCCUUCCCCACUUUGGGGACACCCCCAGCCCCUCCCCAAUUUGGGCCAUCCCCACCCCACACCCUCCUGUCCCUUCCAGCCCCCUGCGCCGGCGGUGGCACCGCGGUGGCCGACGGCUGCGUUUGUCCCCCCGGCCGCUCCGGCCGGCGCUGCGAGACCCCCGACCCCGCCGGCGCGUGCCGGAACGGUGGCACCGCCGUGGGCACCGCCUGCUUCUGUCCCCCGGGAUUUGGGGGACCCCUGUGCCAGCACCCCGACCCCGCCGGCGCCUGCCGCAACGGUGGCACCGCCUUUGGGACACGCUGCGUGUGCCCGGCCGGCUUCGGCGGGGACACCUGCCAGCUCCCCGAGGAGGUGGCGUGGUGCCUCAACGGUGGCACUUUGGAGAAGGGGACGUGCCGGUGUCCCCCCACGGCUUGGGGACCUCGGUGCGAGUGCGGUGGGACGGGACCGAGCACGGCGGUGGGGAAGGCGUUGUACGUCGGUGACACCGCGGGGACGAACGACACGGUGACGGUGACGGUGACGGCGGCGGGGGGUGGCACCGAGGAGAGCGGCACGGACGCGCCACCGGCGAGGAGGGAGAGGAAUGUCACGGGAAGAACUGAGGAGGGAAAUGCCACCACGGUGGGAAGUGUCACCAGGGCCACCAUCGUGGGAAGUGUCACCGGGGCCACCAUGGUGGGAAAUGUCACCAGGGCCACCACCAGUGGCAGCGUCAUGGGAAGGAACGGCACGGUCACCGCGGUGGUCAGCGCCAACACGGACCAUGACAUGGUCACCAGCACUGACCAUGAUGUGGUCACCACCACAGAGAGGGACAUGAUGGUCAGUGCCAACACGGACCAUGAUGUGGUCACCAGCUCGGACCAUGAUGUGGUCACCACCACGGAGAGGGACAUGAUGGUCAGUGCCAACACGGACCAUGAUGUGGCCACCAGCACUGACCAUGACGUGGUCACCAGCACUGACCAUGACGUGGUCACCAGCACUGACCAUGACGUGGUCACCACCAUGGACCAUGACGUGGUCACCAGCACAGAGAGGGCCACCAGGGUCAGGGGCAGUGUCCCCAUGGCCACCACCACAGGGGACAACACCACGACGGUGCCACCAGAGCGGCGGGUGAGAAACGUCACGGGCUGGUCCGUGAGGAGCCACAGCGGGGCCACCACCCUGGAGGGUGAGACCGCAGCCGUGGACGGUGACACCGCGGUCACUCCCUCAGACCUCGCGGAGGGAGAGACCACGGCCAUGGAGGGUGAGAACGAG
ensembl:lncRNA